rnacentral:rRNA from 1 species
GUGAGGAAUAUUGAGCAAUGGGCGCAAGCCUGACUCAGCAACGCCGCGUGGAUGAUGAAGGCCUUCGGGUUGUAAAAUCCUUUUCUGGGGAACGAUAAUGACGGUACCCCAGGAAUAAGUCCCGGCUAACUACGUGCCAGCAGCCGCGGUAAAACGUAGGGGGCGAGCGUUAUCCGGAUUUAUUGGGCGUAAAGCGCACGUAGGCGGCGCUGAAAGUUGGACGUGAAAGCUCCUGGCUUAACUGGGAGAGGUCGUUCAAUACUACAGGGCUUGAGGUUGGAAGAGGAGAGCGGAAUUCCCGGUGUAGUGGUGGAAUGCGUAGAUAUCGGGAGGAACUCCAGUGGCGAAAGCGGCUCUCUGGUCCACCCCUGACGCUGAGGUGCGAAAGCGUGGGGAGCGAACGGGAUUAGAAACCCUAGUAGUCC